rnacentral:lncRNA from 1 species
CAGGGCCGGGGUCCGGAGGAGCUGAGGGAGCUCUGCUGACCAAGUUGGCUCUGGCUCCGCAGGGCGGCCAUGGCCAUGUGGGACGUGCUUAUCUCCGAGCGCUGGGCUCUGCGGAGAGUCGUGUCGGAGCUUGUUGAUGUGCUGCAGGACCGGCGGCUGCGCAGGGUGUUCAGCUUCGCUGUGGAAGAUGCCUGCAUCUACCCAUUGGCUGUGAGUGACCCACGCCCAGCCCUACUGCUCUGCCUUCCUUCCUCCUCCUCCUCCUCCUCUUCCCAGACCUCCGUGCCACAUGCUUGGGCCCACCCGAUGCUGGUUUGGCCCCACCAAGCCUGUCCCGCCACAGGCAGUGUUCUGCCUUCCCCCCUGCCUGCAUCCCCCUGCCCAGCUCUGGCCCCGGGACAGAGACAUGGGGACUCGGAGGUGGCUUCAAGGAGACACUUGCCAGGGGCCGUGCCGGCGUGUGGGAGGGAGCCCCGCAGCUCUGCUGGUCUCUCACCAUUGUCUCCAUUUUAGCUGCUGGCCAGCGCUGACCUGGACGACAAGGAGUUUGCUGCCCUCUACAAAGCCCAGAGGUACCUGAGGCGUCCCAGCCUGGUGAUGCUCUCGCUGGUUGUCACGGGCCUCGUGACACUCUCAAAAGCACCCAAAAUGGCCAGGAAAAUGCUGGUAAUGCUGCCCGACAUCAUAGAGAACCUGCUGGCAGCCAACACCAAUGUCAGGAUGAAGGUCCUGAUGCUCUUCAUCAACGUGAUUCAACACAUGACGAGGGAAGAGGCCGACCUCAUUGCUCUGAGACUGGUGGAGAAGCUCCUGCUCCUCUUCGAUGAUGAGUCCAGCCGGGUGCGGGAGCUCUCCAUCCGCCUCUUCAAAGACGUGAUGAAGACCGCGGUGGGGAGAAACAUCAAAAAAAUGGUGAAGAAAGUGCAGGGUGUGCUGCUCCAACUGUUCUUCCACACCAACGAGAAGGUGGAGAGCGUGGCCAAGGCUUCCUGGGACACCCUCCGCGCCUGUGCAGUGUUCCUGGGCUGGAGGAGGCUCAGCUUCCUGGCUGAGACAGAGCAGAAACACCAGAUCAGAGAGUUCUUGAUAACCCAGAAGAGGAACAGUGUGGACGAGUAUCUGCUCCAGAGCCUGCCCUACUUGAAGGACCCUCAGGCCACCGUGCGAGAGGAGGCCGUCAGGUUCAUCGGUCUUGCUGCGCGGCACCAGAGGAUCCUCAGGCGAGAGAAGCUGUGGGAGUUCUGCCACAGUGGUGAGCAGGGGCAGUGCUGUGCUGGCGGGGGCU